CGGGGAGUGGCGCAGCCUGGUUNNCGCCUGCCUUGGGAGCAGGAGGUCGUCGGUUCAAAUCCGAUCUCCCCGA
rnacentral:tRNA from 1 species